CUAGUUCCUAUUCUCCUUGGAAAAUGAUUUAAGCCUAUUCUGUUUGAUCAGAUUACGAUUAUUGGAGAUAAGGUUGAAGAGAAAAAGCUUGUUAUUUCAGAUCUACAAAAGAAAUCUCAGAAACUAGAGGAUGCUGUGGCGGCUGCUAAGAAGCUCACUUCUCAGCGGCAGUCGAUGCUAAUAAAGCUGCAGAGUUGCUAUCUUCGAUCUCAAGACUUUGCUGACAGACUCAAGAGCUCUGAGCAGGAACUCCAGGCUAGUUUUUCUUGGAUCACCAUCUUUUCAAACUUUUCAAGAACAGAAUUUUCGUCACGGACUUGAGCUUAUUAUAGAUAAACAGAAAUAGG